CUCGCGUGUCGUGUCAGCCGCCGCGGUAAUACGAAGGGUGCAAGCGUUACUCGGAAUUACUGGGCGUAAAGCGUGCGUAGGUGGUUUGUUAAGUCUGAUGUGAAAGCCCUGGGCUCAACCUGGGAACUGCAUUGGAAACUGGCUUACUAGAGUGCGGUAGAGGGUAGUGGAAUUCCCGGUGUAGCAGUGAAAUGCGUAGAUAUCGGGAGGAACAUCUGUGGCGAAGGCGACUACCUGGACCAGCACUGACACUGAGGCACGAAAGCGUGGGGAGCAAACAGGAUUAGAUACCCUGGUAGUCCACGACCCUAAACGAUGCGAACUGGAUGGUUGGGAGCAACUUGGCUCUCAGUAUCGAAGCUAACGCGUUAAG
rnacentral:rRNA from 1 species